rnacentral:rRNA from 1 species
UGCCAGCAGCCGCGGUAAUACGGAGGAUCCAAGCGUUAUCCGGAUUUAUUGGGUUUAAAGGGUGCGUAGGCGGUUUGAUAAGUCAGUGGUGAAAUCUUGCAGCUUAACUGUAAAAUUGCCAUUGAUACUGUCAGACUUGAGUAUAGUUGAGGUGGGCGGAAUGUGUUGUGUAGCGGUGAAAUGCAUAGAUAUAACACAGAACACCAAUUGCGAAGGCAGCUCACUAAGCUAUAACUGACGCUGAGGCACGAAAGCGUGGGUAGCGAACAGGAUUAGAUACCCUGGUAGUCCACGCCGUAAACGAUGAUUACUCGUUGCAGGCGAUAUAGAGUCUGUGACUGAGCGAAAGCAUUAAGUAAUCCACCUGGGGAGUACGUUGGCAACGAUGAAACUCAAAGGAAUUGACGGGGGCCCGCACAAGCGGAGGAACAUGUGGUUUAAUUCGAUGAUACGCGAGGAACCUUACCUGGAUUUAAAUGUGCUUGAUCGCCUCAGAAAAGGGGUUUUCCGCAAGGACAAGUACAAGGUGCUGCAUGGUUGUCGUCAGCUCGUGCCGUGAGGUGUCGGGUUAAGUCCCAUAACGAGCGCAACCCACGUUGUUAGUUACCAGCAUGUAAUGAUGGGGACUCUAGCAAGACUGCCGGUGUAAACCGCGAGGAAGGUGUGGAUGACGUCAAAUCAGCACGGCCCUUACAUCCAGGGCUACACACGUGUUACAAUGGCCGGUACAGAGGGCAGCUACUAGGUGACUAGAUGCAAAUCUUCAAAACCGGUCUCAGUUCGGAUCGAAGUCUGCAACCCGACUUCGUGAAGCUGGAUUCGCUAGUAAUCGCAUAUCAGCCCAUGAUGCGGUGAAUAC